CCCUUAGAUGUUCUGGGCUGCACGCGCGCUACACUGACGCACGCAACAGGUGCCUGCUCCGAGAGGACUGGGUAAUCAUUUGAGUGUGCGUCGUGAUGGGGAUAGAAUAUUGUAAUUAUUACUCUUCAACGUGGAAUUCCUAGUAAGCGCCAGUCAGCAGCUUGCGCUGAUUACGUCCCUGCCCUUUGUACACACCGCCCGUCGCUCCUACCGAUGGGUGAUCCGGUGAAUGAUUCGGACUUCAGCGGCUCCCCUGGGGUGCGCCGGAGAAAGUUUUGUGAACCUUAUCACUUGGAGGAAGGAGAAGUCGUAACA
rnacentral:rRNA from 1 species